rnacentral:rRNA from 1 species
UCAGACGAUGCGUCAUGCAUAUCAAUAAGCGGAGGAAAAGAAACUAACAAGGAUUCCCUAGUAACGGCGAGUGAAGCGGGAGGAGCUCAAAUUUGAAAUCUUAUAGGUUUUACCUUGACGAAUUGUAGUUUAAAGAAGUGUUUUCUGUUGGAGUUUCGGUAAAAGUUCUUUGGAAUAGGACAUCAUAGAGGGUGAGAAUCCCGUAUUUGACCAUUCUUUCUAGCUGUGUGAUACACUUUCAAAGAGUCGGAUUGUUUGGGAAUGCAGUUCAAAAUAGGUGGUAAAUUUCAUCUAAAGCUAAAUAUUGGCGAGAGACCGAUAGCGAACAAGUACCGUGAGGGAAAGAUGAAAAGAACUUUGAAAAGAGAGUUAAACAGUACGUGAAAUUGUCAAAAGGGAAGCGUUUGACACCAGUGUUGUUUUCUCGAAAAUCAAUUAAAAGAGUUGGAUUUAUGCAAGUUGUAUUGACCUUAUCAGCAUGCUUCACUCUUUUCCUGCUUUUUUUAAUGCACUUUUCGUUUAACAAGUCAACAUCAGUUUCUUUUGUUGUAAAAGGGUCAUUGGAAGGUGGCUUUCUCUUCGGAGAAAGUGUUUAUAGCCUUUGAUCUCUGCAAUCGGAGAGACUGAGGUCUGCAGCGUAGAUCCUUCGGGGUUAGAUACAUUUGUGCUAAGCUACAGCUUUUCAUAGACAACUUGUUGACUAUGUUUAGUCUUGUAAUUUACUCGCGAGUGCUAUUUUACCUACGCUUAGGAUGUUGAUAUGCAUGACUGAUAU